AGUCAUCUCUUGCAUUCAUUCCUGCAACAUCUCAGUCAUGGUUUCUCGCGUCGUGUUGGUCGUGCUUGUAGUGGUCGUCCUAGCGGCCGCAGCAGUGGCUCUCCCUGACCCCACGAAACGGCACUUGGGAUUCGGCUUGCACGGAGGAUACGGAGGAUACGGCCUCGGAGGAUUUGGCUACGGAGGCUACGGAGGUUAUGGCUAUGGAUCCCACUAUCCUUAUUACGGAUCCUACUACGGAUAGAUAACGAAGGAUCAAGUAGACGAAGCCCACAGGAUGUAUUUAUCCCUUUCAACACCAUCUAAUAAAGCUUUAA